rnacentral:lncRNA from 1 species
GGUAUUGCCUUUUUAAAAUGGCAUACUCCAGUUUUCCAAUUCCAAUGUUUUCUUUUUUUCUUUUUUGAGACGGAGUUUCACUCUUGUUACCCAGGCUGGAGUGCAAUGGCAUGAUCUCACCCCACCACAACCUCCACCUCCUGGGUUCAAGCAAUUCUCCUGCCUCAGCCUCCCGAGUAGCUGGGACUACAGGCGCGCACCACCAUGCCCAGCUAAUUUUUGUAUGUUUAGUAAAGACGGGGUUUCACCUUGUUGACCAGGAUGGUCUCGAUCUCUUGACCUCGUGAUCCACCUGCCUCGGCCUCCCGAAGUGCUGGGAUUAUAGGCGUGAGCCACCGCGCCUGGCCAAUUCCAGUGUUUUCAUACAUAAUUGCUGGCACAUAGGACGUCACUUGACUUUUGUCAGUUGGCCAUCUGCUUUGUCUCUUAUCGCCAUGCAUCUGGUGGGGAUGGUGGGCUUCCUUUCAGCUGAUUUUUCAAAACCCAUGGCGUGGAAUUGUCAGAACCGUGGACUUCAGAGAUUCCAAGGUCUGUGGGAGGGACACUGCUACAGCUCAACUGCGAGCACCUGAGCGUUCCGCACCACGUGCGAUGGCCAGCAGUGGGUGUGAACGCAUCGAGAGGCGCCCGUGUUCCCGCGCAGACGCCGUGUGUCUCCAGGGGGCGGAGCUGAGCCUCUUCCUCAGGACCUACCCAGGAGGCGCUGCCAUCACUCCAGACAUCUGAAGCCGACUCCCCCUCCCCCUGCCUCACCCCCACCCAGCAGACAGGUACCCGUCUCUACAGGGACACCUGAGGAUCACCCAGCUUACUUCUCAGAGCCACCCAGCAGGCGCCGCCAUCCCUACAGGGACACCUGGAGAGGACCCUGCCUCUUCCUCCUCAGGACCUACCUGGGAGACGCCACUGUUCCUACAGGGACACCUUGGGACUGUGCCCAGGGAGGACCCAGCCUCGUCUUCCUCGGGAGCGACUGGGGAAACGUGGCUUCAGGACCCCCAAAGCUGCCUGAGGAAAGAAACACAUGGGCUAGUGGGGUCCGUAUCAGUUGCAUUUCCAGAACGAUGGCACUGAACACGCUACACUCCGACUUUCAGUGGUGCAGCGGGACGGCCAACAGAGGGCGCGCAUCCACCCCCGUCUCCCGUCCACCCAGAGGCCAAGGGCCCUGCAGUGCCCCCGCCGCCAGCAGAGUGCACGCCAGCCCAGCUUUUCUUAUCCCAGAGGCCAACGCACCCUCCCGCUUCCUCAGCACAGGCCCCCUGGCUGGGCGGGAGCUGCAUUCUCAGCGCAGACCGCCGGACGCCCCUUGCUUUUGUACACCUGGAGCCUGCGUCCACGGUAAGUAAAAUCCUUCCUGUUUGCCGCCCUGUCUGGUGAGGGGUAGAGACCCUUCAUG